ACGGGGAGCAGCCCAGAGCCUGAAUCAGUGUGUGUGUUAGUGGAAGCGUCUGGAAAGGCGCGCGAUACAGGGUGACAGCCCCGUACACAAAAAUGCACAUAUUGUGAGCUCGAUGAGUAGGGCGGGACACGUGGUAUCCUGUCUGAAUAUGGGGGGCCCAUCCUCCAAGGCUAAAUACUCCUGACUGACCGAUAGUGAACCAGUACCGUGAGGGAAAGGCGAAAAGAACCCCGGCGAGGGGAGUGAAAAAGAACCUGAAACCGUGUACGUACAAGCAGUGGGAGCACGCUUAGGCGUGUGACUGCGUACCUUUUGUAUAAUGGGUCAGCGACUUAUAUUCUGUAGCAAGGUUAACCGAAUAGGGGAGCCGAAGGGAAACCGAGUCUUAACUGGGCGUUAAGUUGCAGGGUAUAGACCCGAAACCCGGUGAUCUAGCCAUGGGCAGGUUGAAGGUUGGGUAACACUAACUGGAGGACCGAACCGACUAAUGUUGAAAAAUUAGCGGAUGACUUGUGGCUGGGGGUGAAAGGCCAAUCAAACCGGGAGAUAGCUGGUUCUCCCCGAAAGCUAUUUAGGUAGCGCCUCGUGAAUUCAUCUCCGGGGGUAGAGCACUGUUUCGGCAAGGGGGUCAUCCCGACUUACCAACCCGAUGCAAACUGCGAAUACCGGAGAAUGUUAUCACGGGAGACACACGGCGGGUGCUAACGUCCGUCGUGAAGAGGGAAACAACCCAGACCGCCAGCUAAGGUCCCAAAGUCAUGGUUAAGUGGGAAACGAUGUGGGAAGGCCCAGACAGCCAGGAUGUUGGCUUAGAAGCAGCCAUCAUUUAAAGAAAGCGUAAUAGCUCACUGGUCGAGUCGGCCUGCGCGGAAGAUGUAACGGGGCUAAACCAUGCACCGAAGCUGCGGCAGCGACGCUUAUGCGUUGUUGGGUAGGGGAGCGUUCUGUAAGCCUGCGAAGGUGUGCUGUGAGGCAUGCUGGAGGUAUCAGAAGUGCGAAUGCUGACAUAAGUAACGAUAAAGCGGGUGAAAAGCCCGCUCGCCGGAAGACCAAGGGUUCCUGUCCAACGUUAAUCGGGGCAGGGUGAGUCGACCCCUAAGGCGAGGCCGAAAGGCGUAGUCGAUGGGAAACAGGUUAAUAUUCCUGUACUUGGUGUUACUGCGAAGGGGGGACGGAGAAGGCUAUGUUGGCCGGGCGACGGUUGUCCCGGUUUAAGCGUGUAGGCUGGUUUUCCAGGCAAAUCCGGAAAAUCAAGGCUGAGGCGUGAUGACGAGGCACUACGGUGCUGAAGCAACAAAUGCCCUGCUUCCAGGAAAAGCCUCUAAGCAUCAGGUAACAUCAAAUCGUACCCCAAACCGACACAGGUGGUCAGGUAGAGAAUACCAAGGCGCUUGAGAGAACUCGGGUGAAGGAACUAGGCAAAAUGGUGCCGUAACUUCGGGAGAAGGCACGC
rnacentral:rRNA from 1 species